GCGGCAGGCCUAACACAUGCAAGUCGAGCGCACUCUUCGGAGUGAGCGGCGGACGGGUUAGUAACGCGUGGGAACAUACCCUUUUCUACGGAAUAGCCUCGGGAAACUGAGAGUAAUACCGUAUACGCCCUUUUGGGGAAAGAUUUAUCGGUGAAGGAUUGGCCCGCGUUUGAUUAGAUAGUUGGUGGGGUAAUGGCCUACCAAGUCUACGAUCAAUAGCUGGUUUGAGAGGAUGAUCAGCAACACUGGGACUGAGACACGGCCCAGACUCCUACGGGAGGCAGCAGUGGGGAAUCUUAGACAAUGGGCGCAAGCCUGAUCUAGCCAUGCCGCGUGAGUGACGAAGGCCUUAGGGUCGUAAAGCUCUUUCGCCAGGGAUGAUAAUGACAGUACCUGGUAAAGAAACCCCGGCUAACUCCGUGCCAGCAGCCGCGGUAAUACGGAGGGGGUUAGCGUUGUUCGGAAUUACUGGGCGUAAAGCGUACGUAGGCGGAUUGGAAAGUAUGGGGUGAAAUCCCAGGGCUCAACCCUGGAACUGCCCCGUAAACUAUCAGUCUAGAGUUCGAGAGAGGUGAGUGGAAUUCCAAGUGUAGAGGUGAAAUUCGUAGAUAUUUGGAGGAACACCAGUGGCGAAGGCGGCUCACUGGCUCGAUACUGACGCCGAGGUACGAAAGUGUGGGGAGCAAACAGGAUUAGAUACCCUGGUAGUCCACACCGUAAACGAUGAAUGCCAGA
rnacentral:rRNA from 1 species